CAUGGCAGUGGAGAGCGUCAGGGCCUCCAGGAUGGACCUGGACAUGGACGAAGGGGACUGCCGGCAGAAGCUGCUGAGGAUAUUCCCUGAGGAGGGGAGAUGAGGAAGCCAAACCCUGGAGACAGCAGGUGAGUGGGCAAACAGACCGUGGUGUAGCCAUCCAGUGCUACGGGCUUCUGACACACGCCACACACGGAUGAGUCUAGAUACGAUCACGCCGAGCGAAAGAAUCCAGACACAAGAGUACCCACUGCCUGAUUCCAUGCAUCUAAAAUUUGAGAAAAUGUGAGCUAGCCGCUAUGGAAAGAAAGCAGAUAUGUGGUUGUCCAUUAUCCUGACGGAGGUAAUGGUUUCACAGGCUUCACGUAAAACCUUAGCAAACUGGAUAUUUAAAAUAUAUACAGUUUGUUUUAGGUCAGUUGUAUGUCAAUAACGCCGUAAAGCAA